GUCCACGCCGUAAACGAUGCUAACUCGUUUUUGGGCUUUAGGGUUCAGAGACCAAGCGAAAGUGAUAAGUUAGCCACCUGGGGAGUACGCUCGCAAGAGUGAAACUCAAAAGGAAUUGACGGGGGCCCGCACAAGCGGUGGAUUAUGUGGUUUAAUUCGAUGAUACGCGAGGAACCUUACCAAGACUUAAAUGGGAAUUGACAGUUUUAGAAAUAGAACUUUCUUCGGACAAUUUUCAAGGUGCUGCAUGGUUGUCGU
rnacentral:rRNA from 1 species